UACGUAGGGUGCGAGCGUUAAUCGGAAUUACUGGGCGUAAAGGGUGCGCAGGCGGUUAUAUAAGACAGAUGUGAAAUCCCCGGGCUCAACCUGGGAACUGCGUUUGUGACUGUAUGACUAGAGUACGGUAGAGAGGGGUGGAAUUCCUGGUGUAGCAGUGAAAUGCGUAGAUAUCAGGAGGAACAUCAAUGGCGAAGGCAGCCCCUUGGACCUGUACUGACGCUCAUGCACGAAAGCGUGGGGAGCAAACAGG
rnacentral:rRNA from 1 species